UUGGCUCAGAACGAACGCUGGCCGCAGGCCUAACACAUGCAAGUCGAACGGAUCCUUCGGGAUUAGUGGCGGACGGGUGAGUAACACGUGGGAACGUGCCCUUUGGUUCGGAACAACUCAGGGAAACUUGAGCUAAUACCGGAUGUGCCCUUCGGGGGAAAGAUUUAUCGCCAUUGGAGCGGCCCGCGUCUGAUUAGCUAGUUGGCGAGGUAAAGGCUCACCAAGGCGACGAUCAGUAGCUGGUCUGAGAGGAUGAUCAGCCACACUGGGACUGAGACACGGCCCAGACUCCUACGGGAGGCAGCAGUGGG
rnacentral:rRNA from 1 species